rnacentral:lncRNA from 1 species
AGGAAAGAAGGAAGGAAGGAAAAAAGAAGAAAAUUUCACAUUCUCUGCUCACUGACAUCUCUUUUUCAACCAAGUCCCCCAUCCUGGGCUUGAGUGAACAGCAGCCCUAGAAGGAAUGGUCUUAGUUUAAAAAUGAGAAGCAAGUAGAAAGAAUCCACAUGAAUGCUCUUCAUGGAUAUUAUUUGAAAACAAUACUUAGGGAUAGGCAUAACAAGCAGAGAGCAGAAGAAAAAUGCACAUUAGAAGAAUUAUUCCAGGAAACAGAAAAAUAAAAUUUAGAAGAAAGACUAUUUCUAUACUUGCAAAAUAUUUUAAAGAAAUGAUAACUGUUAAAAAAGUUUCAAAGAGAAAAUAUUGAUUAAAUAAAAUAAGAAAACCCCAUGUAAAGAGUUGAAAAGCAACCUGGCAGACCUUAGCAAUAAACUAAAAUUUAGCAAAGAAACUACCACAGAAUUUAGCAAUAAAUCUACAAUUAAAGAGGGAAAGAAAAAAACAGUGAGUAACUGAAAACAAAAUCAGCGAUACAGAGAAUAAACAUGAAAAUAUUAUAUAAAAUACAAUGGAAAAGAAUAAGAUAAAAGUGUUUCAAGAAAAGAUGAAACAGAGAGAAACAAAUCCUCAUAAACAGAAUUGCAUUCCUGAAAAUGGGAAGAGAUAAUGAAACUCCCAAAUGUUCAGUGAUAUGAAGGAGGAAAAGAUUUCUAAAAUAAGGAACUAAAUCUGUACAUGGAAAGAUAUUCCAAGAAAAACUAUAGAGAAUGAAAUAUAUCUUUGUAAAGUUAGUGAAUGUCAACAAUGACUAAACAAGGGUUUCUGUGGACACAAUGGUAGGAGGAAGUCACCUCUGAGGGGCGCAACCUCACAGACCACUGAGUUUUCCAGGGCAGCAAUCACUGCCAGAAGACAGUAGAGCAGUACCUAUGGGCCCAGAAGGGGAAAAGGUAGUGUGACCCAGGGAUUACAUGGCCGAGUUGUUACUUUGUUGUUGAUAGAUGACCGCAACAGAUCUAUUCCACUUGUAAAGGCUUGAAGAAUAUAAUGACCAUGAAAUCUCUUGAAAAGAAAAUCCUUGAAGAUAAGAUAAAAUACAGCCAAACAAAAAAUGGAACUAAAUCGCUGAAAGCUGAAAAGGAGUUGGGGAAUGGCAAUGAACCCUGAGACCACUGAGAAAUAGAAACAGGGCCAAACAACUGUGGAGCUUAUCAUCACAUAAUAUGAGGAUUCUAGACGUUGGAAUAGAAAAGACUCGCGUGGGAAAGAAGUUCAGAGACUGGCCAGUGGUCUCACAGAUUUCAUAUUGCUCUCAAGGCCCUGCAGUGGCGACAGUGGGGAGGAUUUAAGAUUGCCAGUUCCCGGCCUUAGAAGCAGGAACUCCAGUACCUAAGGGAAGGAUGCUGCAGCCGCGUGUCUGUGGAUACUGAAGGAGCAAUGACUUGAUGGAGAGUCAGCUGAAGAUUUUAUUCAACAAGAAAAAUGUUCUGUAGAGAAAGUACGAAUGGAUCAUGUGAAUAAGUAGGGAAAACACUGUUUAAAAGUUCAAGAGAACAGAAUAUUUUAAAAUUGUAUCUUAGAAUCUGCCACUCAUGUACACAUCUCAGAUGUGCCAGUUUCUCUCCAUCUUGCUCUAGUCUACAACAGUUAAUGAGGAGCAGCAUGUUUGAGGCCACAUUGAGGACAUAUGCUGUGGAAAGUUGUGCCUUGGCCUUAGAGCCACAGAAUUCUCAGUGCUAAUCCCCGCUCACCACUUAAUAGCUGUGUGAGCUUUGGUAAAUCAAGGGAUUUCAAAUCACUUGAUUUCUCUGUGCCCCAAUUCCUUCUUCACCCUCUGGGGAUCUAGUAAAGACUGAGUUAGCACACAGAGAAUAUCUAGCUACUUCAUUAUA